ensembl:misc_RNA Y_RNA Y RNA
GGCUGGUCCGAUGGUAGUGGGUUAUCAGAACUUAUUAACAUUAGUAUCACUAAAGUUGAUAUACAACCCCCCCACUGCUAAAUUUGACUGGCUUUUU